CUAAUACCGGAUAACAACAGAUGAUGCCUAUCAACUUAGUUUUAAAAAGAUGGUUCUGCUAUCACUCUUGGAUGGACCUGCGGUGCAUUAGCUAGUUGGUAGGGUAACGGCCUACCAAGGCGAUGAUGCAUAGCCGAGUUGAGAGACUGAUCGGCCACAUUGGGACUGAGACACGGCCCAAACUCCUACGGGAGGCAGCAGCC
rnacentral:rRNA from 1 species